AUUGAACGCUGGCGGCAUGCCUUACACAUGCAAGUCGAACGGCAGCACGGGAGCAAUCCUGGUGGCGAGUGGCGAACGGGUGAGUAAUAUAUCGGAACGUGCCCAGUCGUGGGGGAUAACGUAGCGAAAGCUACGCUAAUACCGCAUACGAUCUAUGGAUGAAAGCGGGGGAUCGCAAGACCUCGCGCGAUUGGAGCGGCCGAUAUCAGAUUAGGUAGUUGGUGAGGUAAAGGCUCACCAAGCCGACGAUCUGUAGCUGGUUUGAGAGGACGACCAGCCACACUGGGACUGAGACACGGCCCAGACUCCUACGGGAGGCAGCAGUGAGGAAUAUUGGACAAUGGGCGCAAGCCUGAUCCAGCCAUGCCGCGUGCAGGAUGACGGUCCUAUGGAUGUAAACUGCUUUAUACAGGAAGAAACACUACUUCGUGAGUAGCUUGACGGUACUGUAAGAAUAAGGAUCGG
rnacentral:rRNA from 1 species